CUCCCUCUUACGUUUCAAAAUCCUCCCAUAAUCUUCUCUUCAAACCUUGCUCCUCUGAUUUAAGGAAACAAACACGAUUUUCUUUAAAGACCCACUAAUAAUUCCUUAUACGUUACAUGCAGCAACAUCCCUACAUAAACCCUAGACGAGUUCAGCAUCACACCAUGUUUCAGUCGCAUUGUUGUGUUCAGAAAAUCAUCAGAGUAUUCGGUUGUUGUGUUCGCAAAAUCUUAGGUCAGUCAAAUUUUUUUAUCACUCCGUACGUCUCACUUUGAUUCUCCUUCAUUCGACGUUCUGCCGUUACACGGUUACACCCAAAUGAAAAUAAUACUCCAAUCAAUAUCAUUCACAAGGAUCACAACCCAACGAAAGAAAAGGAACUCUUGGAUUGUUCGCUGAAGGGCAGUAUUCUUUUUCUUCUGAUCCUAAUUCUGUUUCAAUCCCCCUCUUUGCUUUCGGAAGAAAAGUCUUGAAGAGAAUACAGUACUGGAUGGAAGGAACAUGAAUUAGUUGUUAGUGUAACAAUAUGUCAAUAUUUUUAUCGAGGUUAUUCAUGUCGAACCGAAAAGAACCAUCCAACUCAGAAAAUGGUCCAUAAUACUUUCAACAAGGGUUGCAGUUUCGUCAAAGAAGCUGGGACUUGAUAAAAUUUGUCCAAAAUUUUACUUCCAUGCUUUUGGUCAUACAAGCAAGAAGGGUGAUGGCUAAGUUGGAAACUUAUACGAAAUUCAUAAAUGUUGUGGUUGUUGCUUUCCGAUUGGUGGUACCUUUAUGAGCUCCACUUCAAGGAAAAUGACGUGUACAAUGAGAGGUGGCAGACUUCAUGGAUUAUCCCUGCCUUCUGACAUGCCUUAUUGUUCUCCAUUUUGUGUGUCAUAUGUGCACUUUGGGCACCAUCACAGUUUUCAACAAGGGUGAGUCCUCCAUUUUUUUCAUUCUUGAGAUGCCAAUAUCUGCUUUGCCUACAUUUGUAAACCUAACACCCUGCGUCCAAUUUUUCUUUGCGGAACUAGAUUUGACCCAUUGAAUUUCCUAUAGCUCGACACAGAAUUACAGUGGUUGGGUAGGUGAACUGGAUUUGAACCAUUCACAGCCCUAUAGUUCAACCUUGCCCUAGAAUGGAUGUUGAAUGAACUCGAUAGUGAAGCUGGUAUGCUUUUGAAAUGCAGAACAACUUCACCAGUAAUCCACAUGUCUAUUAUCAGUUUAGAGGCCAAGCGAAGGCUUCUUUUGAAGUUGUUUGAUUGACUAAGUAAUCAAAUAAAUGGGUGCAGAAAAAAAAAGUAUAAUAGCACUGGAUAGCACUUUGGCACCACUGAAUGUAUGUAUCAAGAUAGUAUUGUAGACCCUUGACCCUUCAUCAAUUUCCAUAAAUUAGUGAGACCGUUUUGUUCUUUGUGUGCCCACAUGGGACAUCACAAGGUCUUAACACUUUCUGAUAUUUGUAAAGUGUAAUGCAUACUUUUUAUUUUUGUGUAAGGUUUGUUACAUCAAAGAUAGCUUCCUGUGCUCAAGGUCAAGGUCCAUCUAAUGGAGUAUUUGCACAAUUGCAUCAAUCCAUUGCCUUGACAGAGAUGUAAGUGUCUUUCGGGAUGCAUUCCAUCCGUUAAGUUAUAGUACUGUGAUUUUAUAUGGAAGCUCUUUAGUUUUCUGUGUAUCAAUAGAGUUAACUAAAGUACUUUGUACUUACCACCAAUAUCGUGACUGAACAAGUGAGAUGUAUAUGACUACAUUUUUUAGUCAGUACUUGCAAAAUAUCACACCAAACUAGAUAAUCUUAAUCACCUUAUUCUUCGUGAGAGUUCGUGACUACGGUUUCCAAAUGGAACACCGAGAUCAAGCCUCUUGCUAAAGUAUCUAACAGUGGUUAUAGUGUGAACAUCACCCUGUAUGGUGAUAAAUCAAUCAACGUGCUCAGUCGUAGUCGUUGUUACUGGGACUAAGGUAUAGCCUAUGCUUCGGUAGUAUUGUCUCAUAUUCAAAUAUAACGUAUAUUUGUCUGUAGACCAUGCUAUGAACACUGAACUCUGUAAUGGGCAGGGAUGCUCCAGCGGUAACCCAGCAGUUACGAUGAAAAUCUAUUUUAAACUUGGCACUAUUAGAGUAACUGAUAUAUGCAACAAAAUAUUUGGUGCGUUGUUGGUGUAGGUAGUCUGAAUUUCGCACACUUUCUUUCUUUUCUUACUUCAUGAUCUCAAUUAUCUAUAAAAUAUUUAUACAACAAAUAUCUCAAAAUCACACAAGGCACAUUUUCUUGCAAUUUCUGAAACAUCAUCAUUGCUUCCUGAAAUUUGGUGCGUCUGUUGGUGUAGGUAGUCUGAUUUUCGCACACUUUCUUUCUUUUCGUACUUCAUGAUUUUGAAUUUUUGAAUAACUUAUUACUUAUAUUUAAGCGAUGAUUUUUGACUUUCAUCGGUGUGGAAAAUAUUAUGCGGCCACCAGCUUGAUUGUUGACUCUCCACUUUCCCCCCUACAGACUUUUCACAUGCAUGCCAUUACUUUAUCCAGUGGCUCAAAGUCUAGCAAAUCCCAGUGAUCUCAUGCUGACUAAUUGAACGAUUUGUGCAAUGGCUUGGGGACUCGAGAUUGUUAAGCCAAUGAAAGAGUAAGAGGUAUAGCCAAGGCACAAACUCAGAGAGCUGUGUAUGACAACACGAGAAUCUUCACUCACAUCAUGUAAAGCGUAACUCUCAAUUUAGAUAGAACUGAAAAUGUAAUUUGAAAAAAAAAUGCUUAGCAAUGAAAAUGUAUUUGAUUCAUGGCUAGAAUUUGAUUCUUCGCAGACCUUAAGAGUUAGAAUGUACGUUGUAUAAAAGAAAUCGUUUCUCUGUAUGUAAUAAAGCAUUUCUAUGUACGCAAUAAGCAUUGGUCCAGGAUUUACAAGUUGUAGACGAAAAAGAUUAUUACUUGGUACUCAUAGAACUGCAGCGUGGUACAGGAUUUAACAAUUAUUGUUUUCACCAUUA